AACGUAAGAUAGAAGAAAGAAAUACAGUGAGAUGGAUACUGCAGUUUUUUUCUUUCAUUCACCAAGUAACGAUAAAUUUUUCAGUGUUUCACCGAAUAGCCUUGAUCCAAUCUAUAUACACACAAUAUAUAAUAAGAAUACUUGCUAACCAUUCUCAGGUGACAACUGGUUCAAAUAUCUUGUGAGAAUUAAACAUCCCAUCAAAACUUGCAUAAAAUUUGACAAUACUAAAACUAACACCUCCUUGACAUACUAAACAGUACUCUGAAACUAAUGUUGUAGAUUCUAACUAAGACCUCCAUAACAUACGGAACGGUACAAAAAAUGUAAAAUCAAUGAAUAGAAAGUCCCACAACCCCAUGUUGGAUUGAAGGAUUAAAACUGACCAGAUCCCAUCUGCUCUCAAACACGGCUGAGAACCCGAGAAAGUCGAAGCUUGGGAGAUAAGUUCAUCACCAUGAUGAUUACAGGAAUGACUCUGUGGAGACCGACAACCUUCACCUUCUUCACGGCCCGUGAGCACCACUCCUUCCGCAGAGCUGUUAAUUACUCCUCAACACCGUUGGAGCCCGUCCAGGAGUCCAAAAAUUCAGGUAAGGGUCAGGACUGUGCUACACAUUGCAACUUGCUCCUUUAGAUUUUAGUGUGGCAGAGAAAGGCCUCUCUUUUUUUAUUAUUCUUUUAAAUAAUACAUCUAAAACAGUUUAUCAUGACUGAGAGGUGAGGAUAGUAACUAACAAUGAUUGUUUCUUCUUCUUGUUUUGGCUGCUUUAUGUUCAAUGUCUUCACAUUCUCGAAGUCAAAGAUAAAACCAGAACCAGAAAUCAUAUAAAAGUGACUUUUCAAAAAAUUAUUUAAAGAGGAAAUGACCAGAAAAGGUGAUGAACUUACUGCGUGAAGCAGAAGCUAACAAGGAAACCACUAAAGCCCUCAAUAUCCACAUCACGAACUGCUGAAUGUAAGAUCUUGAUAUUGUUUCCCUCCUCAAUUCGAAAUGUGGUGAUAGAAAGAGGUUGCCGAUAAUUGCCUUUGUACGUGAAACCACUCUGGACAAGACAAAAUUCCAGGCCACCCAAAUGAGCCAAGUAUUGUGAUCUCCUUGAAGGAUUCGGUGGAAACUUAAUCUCCAUGCCUGACAACAGCAAUGGCUUGCCAAGAGAAAAGGCAGCAUGACCUUCAUCAGUUUGAUCCGUUAUGACAGAGAAU